ensembl:lncRNA
GAUUAAAUGAGGUGCGAGAAGAUCUCAUUCAUCUCAAUGGCAGGGGCUCGGUUGGUGCAUGAAACCCUGGAAACAUGCAACACAGAUGCAGGAUCUUUGGUCACAGACACUCAGAGAGCAUGUACCACCAGGGGCCUAAAGGUUUUUUUUUUUUCUCAAAUGGACGUUGAGACGUGAUUGAGAUCUCCAUCAAGUGGUUCAAGGUACAAAAGAGCAUUUUACGAGCAGUAAACCCUUCAUUAUGUAACCCAGAAUACUUAUUCAGAUUAUUUGUUCACGUUGUUCCUGAAUUAAUAGACAUUUAGCACUACAAACUGCUUUAGUGUAUUUAUAUAUCUUAAACACGCUCUAAAAUGAUUCAUGUUUCUUUAAAUCCUCCUUUUGCUGAUAAUUUGAGACAUCUUUUGCCCGUGGCAGAGCUGAAACUGUGUCUCUCUCAUUGAUAUACGGCACCAGAGCCGAAGCUUUGUUGAGUCGGGUAUUUCCAGAUGGCUCACAAAAGACUCAAUUGACUCGCUCCUCUAAUGUGUUAAAGCGUUUGCUCCCACAUGACAAAUUCGGAGGGGAAAAAACCCAGCCUCUCAGCAUGUAAAAAAACAGUAAAAGAUGAAAUAUCAAACAGAUUUUCUCUUUCACUCUCGAUUUUUGUGCAUUUAGUUUCUCACCCAGCAAUACGUGGCAUUUAUAUAAAUCAGUCAUGCCAGGGCCUUGUCGCAUUCGUAUUCGGACCUUAUCGGAGUGCCUGUGUAUGAAUAAAGUUUGUCUCUUACAGAUACACUUACAUCACGUCUCAAUGUCUUAUGCAAUGGAGUCUGGAGCUCCGCCAGCAUGCAGUGAACCAGAGAAGCAGAGAGACGUCCCAGCGGCCCGCAGCCCUGACAACACCCUUCUAUCCCCCUCUGAAAUCUUUAUUUACUGCCCCCGCACUCCUGCUCCCUCGCCGGGGCAAUUAAAGCACUGCUGUGUCAGACGGGGAAAGACUGAAAUGGAAAGGGAUACCUUGAAUGCAAUAAAACCAUCCUGGCUAGUCCAAACAUUGGAGCGAUUCUCGGGUUUCAGACCCCCACCUUGUCUUCUGUGCCGAGUUCAGCCAGGCUCCUGGUCAGAAACACACACACAUCUAAUUCGAGUUCGAAGAUUUGCGAAUAACCCGAAUGGGAUCAAAUUAAAAUUCCAAGACGGGAGGAAAAAAGCAAUAUGGGGUUUGAAAGUGGCCCCUGCUUCUUUAAGCUGGAUUUAA